rnacentral:rRNA from 1 species
UGACCUCAGACAGGUAGGGAUACCCGCGAACUUAAGCAUAU